rnacentral:rRNA from 1 species
UACAGAGGUCCCAAGCGUUUGUUCGGAUUUAUUGGGCGCAAAGGGUGCGUAGGCGGCGGAGUAAGUUGGGUGUGAAAUCCCGGGGCUCAACCUCGGAAUUGCAUUCAAUACUGCUUCGCUCGAGUACUGGAGAGGAGGCUGGAAUUUACGGUGUAGCAGUGAAAUGCGUAGAUAUCGUAAGGAAGGCCGGUGGCGAAAGCGAGCCUCUGGACAGUUACUGACGCUGAUGCACGAAGGCCAGGGGAGCAAACGGGG